rnacentral:rRNA from 1 species
UACGUAGGGCGCAAGCGUUGUCCGGAAUCAUUGGGCGUAAGGAGCUCGUAGGCGGCCUGUUGCGUCCGCUGUGAAAUCCCGGGGCUUAACCCCGGGCUUGCAGUGGAUACGGGCAGGCUGGAGGCAGGCAGGGGAGAACGGAAUUCCCGGUGUAGCGGUGAAAUGCGCAGAUAUCGGGAGGAACACCGGUGGCGAAGGCGGUUCUCUGGGCCUGUACUGACGCUGAGGAGCGAAAGCGUGGGGAGCGAACAGG